AAUAACCAUAGUAUAAACAACCCAGGAAGCAACAAGGUAACAAAAAAUGCAUCAUAUCUCAAUUAGUCGGGAAGUUUGACAGCUUUCAGCGAAAAUUUUGCUGCAAUAAGUAAAAUGAAAGCCAAGUGAUAUAAUUUACUUUUGUGUCACCAUUUACCAUUCACAUCAUUGUUUAUGUUUGUUGAUUAUUUUGCAAGGCUUCAUUUUGAAUUCCAAAAUCCACCGGAGCAUAUUGCGUGUCUACGGUAAGGACAUUUUAGUCUGCAAACGGACAGUGAGUCAUAUUUUAUCCUUCCCUGACUAGUGAAUCCAGUGAAUGCAUGUAAAUUGGACAGCUAGAAAGAAUAGGCUAAGAGAGAUUAUUUACUUAUUGAUAAGGAAAUUUAAUUCAUUCUGCCCUUUGUGCUUCUUGAAAGGUAAUUGAUUAUACAACAUAAUUAAAAAAAGAAUUUCCAGGUACAUAGCAUGGAUCCUUUUUUUCCCAGAUUGCAAUUUAAGAGAGAUCUGGUAUUUAGAAUUUUAAAGGUUCAGACAAAAGAA